GGGAGAAGCAGGCCCCCCAUGGGGAGCCCGAUGCAGGACUUGAUCCCAGGACCUCAGGGUUCAUGCCCUGAGCCAAAGGCUGAUGUUCCACCCCUGAGCCCCCCAGGUGCCCCCUGUUUUACUUUCUCAAGAGGCUGAAUCACCUGGCUGAGGACCCAGCCAGCCAGUGGGGCAGAGGCUGGAGUUCCGAGAGCUCCAAGGGGCCCAGCCCUGCCCUGAGGCAAGGACUAGAUCUUUCCCUGACAACCUGGAAAGACCGCAUGGCCAGUCAGGCUGCGGGGAGAGAGAGAGGAGGCCUGAGGGGCUGGGUGCUCUGGAGCCUGGGUUCCCUGCCUCCUGCACAACCCCGUGGUCCCUAGAGAGCAUUGACACUUGGGGAGGGGGGUCCCGGGGGGGGGGGUGCUGAGAACCGCUCCCAUGCGCCGAGCCUUUGGGAGACCUCUUCAUCCCAGCCUCGGCUUCCCUGCCAGCCCCCCUGCAUCCCACAUCCCCUGCGCCCCUCCCCUGCCUUAUGGGGAGCAGGUGUUCCGGGCCCCCAGGGCCUCUGCACUCCCCUUGCAGGCUGCAGGGCCCCGUGGGCCCUCUCAGAUGCUCUCAACACCCCGAUCCAAGAGACACAGAUGAAAGCGGUGCCCCCGAGGCCCCAGGUGGCCUGGGCAGGCUCCUGCCCCUUUCUCCACACGCCACAUGCAGGGUGGGAUUCGAGGGGGGCUGGGAGGAGACGGUAUGAAUCCAUUUUCUCAAGAAACUACUAUCGGCCUCGUAGCAGUGAGGGCCCCCCAGAGGAACAGAGCCAAUAGAUUUUAUAUCAUAAAGGGUGCCGGUCUGAUACCAGGAGCAGAGGGAAAAGGGGAAGAGAAAGGGCGGAGAGGGGUCCAAUUCUGCUGGAAUUCCUGGUUCCAGGAAUCCCCAAGCCCUGCCCUUCUUGUGAUUUUUUUUAUUAAUAAUGAGCGAAUCAAUUCCAGCUUUUUUGGCUUAAUAUGUGUGUGCUUGAUUUUUGUUGCCUGCAUGGAGAGAGGCCUGAGUUCUCCAAGGAGGAAGCGGGAACAGGGCCAGGAGUAGGGUGAGGCACGCAAGCACCCAGGGCCCCAGAUGGAAGGAGGCCUCGCCGUCAGGCUAGGGCAAGUCCACAGCCGGCCUCUCAAGGGAGCGCCUUCUUCCAUUCAGCGCCCUUGGCAUCUCUUGCCCCCGUCUCCCCGGCCCUGGCUACCCAUGGAAGCCUUGACUUUGAACUCACAAAUAUCACCACCCACUGAUUUAUUUGUUGAUUUGCUAAGCAAGCAUUGAUUGGGUGCCUACUGAGUCCCCAGUGCUGUGGAGGGUGCUAGAAGGGGCAACAGAUGAGGGACAGCGCCUUAGGGACAGACAGCCUGGGCAGGAAGACAAAUGUGCCAGAAAUAAUAACUUGAGAGAUGUGUCAUAAAGGGCAGCAUCUGUCCCAGAAGCACCGGGAAGUGGGUGGUGUUGCUGAAAACUGAAGGAGAAAUACAACUUAGAUAAGAGAGAGAGAGAGAGAAGCAAGUGCCCACUGGAGUCGUCCCAGGAAGAGGGGCAGCACAGAGCGCAUGCUCGGCCACUUUCCGUGUCCACUCAAUAAACACUUGUCCAAAGCCUAUUAGGAACCAGACAUGGGCUAGUCUUCAUGGGUUACAGAGAAAAAAAAAAUCCUACCCUCGGGACACCUGGGUGGCUGAGCAGUUGAGCAUCUGCCUGAGACUCAGGGCAUGACCCCAGGGUCCCGGGAUCGAGUCCCACAUCAGGUUCCCUGCAUGGAGCCUCUUCUCCCUCUGCCUGUGUCUCUGUCUCUCUCUGUCUGUGGACAAUGGACACAUAAAUAAAUGGACAAAUAAAUAAAAUCUUAAAAAAAAAAUCCUACCCUCAAGGAAUUGACCCUAACAGUGAAGGAAGCAGACAGGAGCCCCUGACCAUGUAGAGCAAUGCAUUCUAUGGGGUGGGGGGUGGGGUAGAUACAGAGCAGGGUGUUCACUUCAUCCGGGGAGGGCAAAGGACGGCUUCCGGGAGGGGUACUACUCGCCUGAGCUGGAGUCUGAAGGGGAAGUAGGUAUUAGCCAGAGAAAGAAGUCAAGGCCGGCCGGGGAGAGAGACCAGUCCGCGAAAGGCAGGGUGACAAGGGGCCGCAGUGGGACGACUUCAGCAACGGUUAGGUGCCUGGGACGCCCACGGGAUGCAGGCUGGGCCCGAAGUCCUAUAUAGGGUCACAACAGUAGGAGAACUCUGGAGCCGAGUGCCGUCCACCUCCUCUGUCGAUGAAAAUUCACAUAUGAUGCAAUUUUUCUCUGUGCCAGGAGCAUCGCCUCUUAGGAAAACAGAUGGUCGGACCAGCUGCCUGGCUCGAAUCCCAGCUCCACUCUCCGUGUCCUUAGAGGGGGAGUUACUUCUCUCUGCUUCGGUCUCCUCAUCCGAAAAAUAGGGACACUAAUAUUAUUAGGAGGAAUAAAUUAGUGCUUAAACGAAUGAUUGCAUGUGGGAAGCACUCUUUAUUUUUUUAUGAGGAUUUCUUAUUUAUUUACUUGAGAGAGAGGGAGAGAGAGCACAGAGGGAGAGGGAGAAGCAGACUCCGCACUGAGCAGAGAGCCCGAUGAGGGGCUCAAUCCCAGGACCCCGGGGUCAUGACCUGAGCCGAAGGCAGAUGCUUCACCGACCGAGCUACCCAGGCGCUCCGGGGAAACCCUCCUUUAAAUGAGAGUCAUCGGGUGCCCUUUAGCCUCCAACCAUGCCAAUCUAAGUGUGGACGGCAGCCUGGCACUACCUGAAAGGUUGUAAGAAAUGCAGAAUUUUAUUGAAUGGAUCUAUAUUUUAAUAAAGUCCCUGGGUAAAGCUUGAGA